ensembl:miRNA
GACUCGCUUGUGUCGGAGCUCAGUUACAGAUCGAGCUCGAGUCUCAGCGAGACAA